GACGAACGCUGGCGGCGUGCUUAACACAUGCAAGUCGAGCGGAAAGGCCUCUUCGGGGGUACUCGAGCGGCGAACGGGUGAGUAACACGUGAGUAAUCUGCCUCUGGCUUCGGGAUAGCCACCGGAAACGGUGAUUAAUACCGGAUACGACACGUCACUGCAUGGUGGGUGUGUGGAAAGUUUUUUCGGCCAGGGAUGUGCUCGCGGCCUAUCAGCUUGUUGGUGGGGUAAUGGCCUACCAAGGCUUCGACGGGUAGCCGGCCUGAGAGGGUGACCGGCCACACUGGGACUGAGACACGGCCCAGACUCCUACGGGAGGCAGCAGUGGGGAAUAUUGGACAAUGGGCGGAAGCCUGAUCCAGCAACGCCGCGUGAGGGAUGACGGCCUUCGGGUUGUAAACCUCUUUUAGCAGGGAAGAAGCGAAAGUGACGGUACCUGCAGAAAAAGCACCGGCUAACUACGUGCCAGCAGCCGCAGUAAUAC
rnacentral:rRNA from 1 species